AAAUUGAAGAGUUUGAUCAUGGCUCAGAUUGAACGCUGGCGGCAGGCCUAACACAUGCAAGUCGAACGGUAGCACAGAGAGCUUGCUCUCGGGUGACGAGUGGCGGACGGGUGAGUAAUGUCUGGGAAACUGCCUGAUGGAGGGGGAUAACUACUGGAAACGGUGGCUAAUACCGCAUAACGUCGCAAGACCAAAGAGGGGGACCUUCGGGCCUCUUGCCAUCAGAUGUGCCCAGAUGGGAUUAGCUUGUUGGUGAGGUAACGGCUCACCAAGGCGACGAUCCCUAGCUGGUCUGAGAGGAUGACCAGCCACACUGGAACUGAG
rnacentral:rRNA from 2 species